rnacentral:rRNA from 1 species
CAGUAGCCGCGGGAAUACAGAGGGUGCAAGCGUUAAUCGGAAUUACUGGGCGUAAAGCGAGCGUAGGUGGUUUGUUAAGUUGGAUGUGAAAUCCCAGGGCUCAACCUGGGAACUGCAUCCAAAACUGGCAAGCUAGAGUAUGGUAGAGGGUGGAGGAAUUUCCUGUGUAGCGGUGAAAUGCGUAGAUAUAGGAAGGAACACCAGUGGCGAAGGCGACCACCUGGACUGAUACUGACACUGAGGUGCGAAAGCGUGGGGAGCAAACAGGAUUAGAUACCCGUGUAGUCCCUGUCUCUUAUAC